UACGAAGGGGGCUAGCGUUGCUCGGAAUUACUGGGCGUAAAGCGCACGUAGGCGGUUUUUUAAGUCGGGGGUGAAAUCCUGGAGCUCAACUCCAGAACUGCCUUCGAUACUGGAAGACUUGAGUCCGGGAGAGGUGAGUGGAACUGCGAGUGUAGAGGUGAAAUUCGUAGAUAUUCGCAAGAACACCAGUGGCGAAGGCGGCUCACUGGCCCGGUACUGACGCUGAGGUGCGAAAGCGUGGGGAGCAAACAGG
rnacentral:rRNA from 1 species